rnacentral:rRNA from 1 species
CGGGAGCUUGCUCCCUUAGGUCAGCGGCGGACGGGUGAGUAACACGUGGGUAACCUGCCUGUAAGACUGGGAUAACUCCGGGAAACCGGGGCUAAUACCGGAUGCUUGAUUGAACCGCAUGGUUCCAAUCAUAAAAGGUGGCUUUUAGCUACCACUUACAGAUGGACCCGCGGCGCAUUAGCUAGUUGGUGAGGUAACGGCUCACCAAGGCGACGAUGCGUAGCCGACCUGAGAGGGUGAUCGGCCACACUGGGACUGAGACACGGCCCAGACUCCUACGGGAGGCAGCAGUAGGGAAUCUUCCGCAAUGGACGAAAGUCUGACGGAGCAACGCCGCGUGAGUGAUGAAGGUUUUCGGAUCGUAAAACUCUGUUGUUAGGGAAGAACAAGUACCGUUCGAAUAGGGCGGCACCUUGACGGUACCUAACCAGAAAGCCACGGCUAACUACGUGCCAGCAGCCGCGGUAAUACGUAGGUGGCAAGCGUUGUCCGGAAUUAUUGGGCGUAAAGCGCGCGCAGGCGGUUUCUUAAGUCUGAUGUGAAAGCCCCCGGCUCAACCGGGGAGGGUCAUUGGAAACUGGGGAACUUGAGUGCAGAAGAGGAGAGUGGAGUUCCACGUGUAGCGGUGAAAUGCGUAGAGAUGUGGAGGAACACCAGUGGCGAAGGCGACUCUCUGGUCUGUAACUGACGCUGAGGCGCGAAAGCGUGGGGAGCGAACAGG